AUGGCAGCUACGCACCACGGCUACAACGUCCUCAAGAUGCCAGGAAGCGGCGGCGUCAUCACGGUCACAUGUCAAGAGAAGGACGCGGUGUGCUCCCUCGAGCGCGCCUUCCAGGCUGCAGCGGUCGAGAACCCUGAAGACGAGGGCGGCGCCCUCCCUCCUGAGGUCGGCCCCAAGACGAAGAAGCUGCAGCUGGGACAGGGGUCUCGUGAAGAAGCAUCACUCGAGGACGCCGCGCUGAAGACGAGGGCGGCGCCCUCCCUCCUGAGGUCGGCCCCAAGACGAAGAAGCUGCAGCUGGGACAGGGGUCUCGUGAAGAAGCAUCACUCGAGGACGCCGCGUUGA
rnacentral:rRNA from 1 species